rnacentral:rRNA from 1 species
UACCAGCACCCCGAGUGGUCGGGACGAUUAUUGGGCCUAAAGCAUCCGUAGCCGGUCCUACAAGUCUUCCGUUAAAUCCACCUGCUUAACAGAUGGGCUGCGGAAGAUACUAUAGGGCUAGGAGGCGGGAGAGGCAAGCGGUACUCAGUGGGUAGGGGUAAAAAUCCUCUGAUCCAUUGAAGACCACCAGUGGCGAAGGCGGCUUGCCAGAACGCGCUCGACGGUGAGGGAUGAAAGCUGGGGGGAGCAAACCGGAUUAAACCAACCGUGUGACGUACCCAA